UCCGUUCUGAGCCCUCCCCUCGCACCGCGGGCCCGCCGUUCCCGCCUUGCCCCUCACGGAGCGCGGCUCCGAGCCCUGAGGGGGGAGCGAGGCUCCCUAAGCGAAAGCGCCCGGAGCACAGCGCGCAGACCGCGGGCUCGACUCUGCCUCCCCCACCUCAGCCUUUUCACCCAGACAACAUCUUUAAUUUAAACAGAAAUUAAUCUCCGGCCCAGAUAGGCCGGGAUUUGGCUCACCUGCGGCGCCCGUCGCCUGGACCCGGAGGAGGCAGCAAACCGAGUAAGGAGUGUGUCAGGGACUACAAGAACAUUCCCAUUCCCUGUGUUUCUACGUGAAAUGCAUUUCUAGCCACACCCAUAAGGAACUUGUCUCUCCCGACAGUACACAGUGGGACCUUUCUCUAGGUAA